AACGCACAUUGCACUGUUUGGAACUCCAGGCAGUAUGUCUGUUUGAGUAUCAGUAAACACCCUCAAACCUUACGGUGUCCUAGUGGCACUUGUAGGUUUGGACUUGAGCUCGUUAAGCCUCUUUGCUGGGGCUUAUGGCUUGAAAUGAAGGUGCUGGCUGGGUACGCCCACGAAGCUGACAGAGCUAGUCUGUUACAGGACGCGACUGUCUGGCUGAGGUGGAUCCGGCUGCCUAACUUGAUACUGCUCUCCUCGUGGGAGCUUUACUGUUGAUCUCAAAUCAGACAAGAGUACCCGCUGAACUUAA
rnacentral:misc_RNA from 1 species